UGGCUCCGUCAUUAAAUCGAAAAUUGCUGUCAAUGAUUGAAGGACGUCAAACAAAGAGGAAGAAACUGAAGUUGAUUAAAUGGCUCCAGAAAAAAAAAUUGCUUAAAGCAAAAAUGAAGUGCAAUUUAUGCCAACAUAAAAUGAAGCUGACUCAUAAACCCAACAAAGCAGACAACUAUGUUUGGUCCUGUACACGAAACAGACAUAAGGGAAGGUUCAAGUCAGUGAGGUAUGGAUCACUUUUUGCCAAGUCAAAGUGUAAUUUAUUCUCCUGGAUGAAGUUCAUAUAUCGGUUUGCUCAAGGCCUUCAGUUGAGACAAAUCGACAUGAUUGAAGAUGGCAUUGCUGGAAGCUCACGUACACUCAGCAGCAUGGCCAAAAAAGUUCGAGCUAUUUGUAAAGAAUCCAUGAAGUUGUAUGCCAGAAGGAAGGGCCAAAUGAUAGGACAACCCAGGGAGUUUGUUAUGAUUGA